rnacentral:rRNA from 1 species
AUGAGUAUUAAAUGGCCGCAGUACCCUGACUGUGCUAAGGUAGCAUAAUAACUUGCCUUUUAAUUAAAGGCUGGAAUGAAAGAUUUGACGAAAGAAUAUCUGUCUCAGCUUCUUAUUAAAAAAUUAACUUAAAGGUAAAAAGGCCUUUAUUUACUAAAGGGACGACAAGACCCUAUAAAGCUUUAUUUAUAAAUUUUUAUUUAUAUUAAGAACAAAACAAAAACUAUAAAUUUUAUUGGGGUGAUAGAUAAAUAAACAUUAUCGGUUAAAACGUCUUUAACGAAACUUAUACAACAUUUUUAAAAACCUUAUAACAAGUUACUUUAGGGAUAACAGCAUAAUUUCUUUUUAGAGCCCUUAUCGACAUAGAAGAUUAUGACCUCGAUGUUGAAUUGAGUUACUUCUCCUAAGUAGUCUUAGGUGAUAGAAGUCUGUUCGAACCCUUAAA